rnacentral:lncRNA from 1 species
UUUUGGAGCCGGGCUCCUCCAAUUUAAGUCCGGCUUGUGGGCGGCCACAUCCUGCUUCUGUUCUGUAAGGGUCGCGGUUUGACCUUACCCCCGGUAGAAAGCGCCCCCAGGCUUCUAGAACCUCGCCGCGUGGAAGCCGGGAAAACCUGGGGGUGGCUUGGCAUUAGCCGCCCAACCAAGACUGAGUUAUUAGAAGACUUUGAGGUGUGAAUCGAAAGCUGUUACUCUCCCCCGAGUCUGACUGCCGGAUUACCAAACCUCGGCCGGUACCCCGAAAUGAAUGGGCGUAUUAUGCCUUCCAUUAAAAGUUGUGGCUCUUAAUUAAAAACGCGAUCGUGGGUCUUUAUGGAGACAUUGUUUAGGUUUUCUUUAGCUGUUAACACAUAAUAAAUCAUUUUAAAAG